rnacentral:rRNA from 1 species
AUUGAACGCUGGCGGCAGGCCUAACACAUGCAAGUCGAACGGCAGCACAGAAGAGCUUGCUCUUUGGGUGGCGAGUGGCGGACGGGUGAGUAAUGUCUGGGAAACUGCCCGAUGGAGGGGGAUAACUACUGGAAACGGUAGCUAAUACCGCAUAACGUCGCAAGACCAAAGUGGGGGACCUUCGGGCCUCACACCAUCGGAUGUGCCCAGAUGGGAUUAGCUAGUAGGUGGGGUAAUGGCUCACCUAGGCGACGAUCCCUAGCUGGUCUGAGAGGAUGACCAGCCACACUGGAACUGAGACACGGUCCAGACUCCUACGGGAGGCAGCAGUGGGGAAUAUUGCACAAUGGGCGCAAGCCUGAUGCAGCCAUGCCGCGUGUAUGAAGAAGGCCUUCGGGUUGUAAAGUACUUUCAGCGGGGAGGAAGGCGGUGAGGUUAAUAACCUUGCCGAUUGACGUUACCCGCAGAAGAAGCACCGGCUAACUCCGUGCCAGCCGCCGGGGUAA